rnacentral:rRNA from 1 species
ACGGGAGGCCGCAGCUAAGAAUAUUCCGCAAUGGACGAAAGUCUGACGGAGCGACGCCGCGUGGAUGAUGAAGGCCGGAAGGUUGUAAAAUCCUUUUAUAACUGAGGAAUAAGUAUUAUCAGAGAAAGGUAGUAUGGUGACUGUAGGUUAAGAAUAAGCAACGGCUAAUUACGUGCCAGCAGCCGCGGUAACACGUAAGUUGCGAGCGUUGUUCGGAAUUAUUGGGCGUAAAGGGCAUGUAGGCGGAUAUGCAAGCUUGGUGUGAAAGGCGGGAGCUCAACUCCCGAACUGCGUUGAGAACUGCAUAACUAGAGUGACUGAGGGGCAGGCAGAAUUCCAGGUGUAGGGGUGAAAUCUGUAGAUAUCUGGAAGAAUACCAAUGGCGAAGGCAGCCUGCCAGCAGAUGACUGACGCUGAGGUGCGAAGGUGCGGGGAGCAAACAGGAUUAGAUACCCUGGUA